rnacentral:rRNA from 1 species
UGAGGAAUAUUGGUCAAUGGGCGAGAGCCUGAACCAGCCAAGUCGCGUGAGGGAAGACGGUCCUACGGAUUGUAAACCUCUUUUGUCGGGGAACAAAAGGCGCCACGCGUGGUGUAUAGAGUGUACCCGAAGAAAAAGCAUCGGCUAACUCCGUGCCAGCAGCCGCGGUAAUACGGAGGAUGCGAGCGUUAUCCGGAUUUAUUGGGUUUAAAGGGUGCGUAGGUGGCUUGUUAAGUCAGCGGUGAAAGUCAGUGGCUCAACCAUUGAAUUGCCGUUGAAACUGGCGAGCUUGAGUACGUACGGGGCAGGCGGAAUGCGUGGUGUAGCGGUGAAAUGCAUAGAUAUCACGCAGAACCCCGAUCGCGAAGGCAGCCUGCCAGGCCGUGACUGACACUGAUGCACGAAA